rnacentral:rRNA from 1 species
CGCAGUUCAGGGUUUUCCGUAGGUGACCUGCGGAGGUCAUUAUCGAAUUAUAAGCGAGGGUUGUAGCUGGCCUCCCUUUCGAGGCAUGUGCACGCCUGAGCUCUUAAAUCCACAACACACCUGUGAACCCACCGUAGGCCUUCGGGCUUAUGCAUAUAUACUCUGAAUGUGUCAUAGAAUGUUCAUGUUGCCUUAAAACGCAAUCAAAUACAACUUUCAACAACGGAUCUCUUGGCUCUCGCAUCGAUGAAGAACGCAGCGAAAUGCGAUAAGUAAUGUGAAUUGCAGAUUUUCAGUGAAUCAUCGAAUCUUUGAACGCACCUUGCGCUCCUUGGUAUUCCGAGGAGCAUGCCUGUUUGAGUGUCAUUAAAUCCUCAACCCCACCGAUUUGCUUCGGGGGGAUUGGACUUGGAGCGUGCUGGCGAAGGUCGGCUCCUCUUUAAAUGCAUCAGUGGAGAAAGAAAGCUCGUCCCAGUGUGAUAAUCCUGUUGCGCUGUGGUGGGGUGAAAAUUCCGCUUCCAACCCGUCCUCCGGGACAAGACAUCUCAAUUUGACCUCAAAUCAGGUAGGACUACCCGCUGAACUUAAGCAUAUCAUAAA